UACGUAGGGUGCGAGCGUUGUCCGGAAUUAUUGGGCGUAAAGAGCUCGUAGGCGGUUUGUCGCGUCGGCUGUGAAAACUCGGGGCUCAACCCCGAGCCUGCAGUCGAUACGGGCAAACUAGAGUGUGGUAGGGGAGACUGGAAUUCCUGGUGUAGCGGUGAAAUGCGUAGAUAUCGUGAGGAAGACCAGUGGCGAAGGCGGAUCUCUGGGCCAUAACUGACGCUGAGAAGCGAAAGCAUGGGGGAGCGAACAGG
rnacentral:rRNA from 1 species